ensembl:lncRNA
AUAUAGUGUGGCUAAUAUGUGUUUUUAUAGAUUUACAUUUUACAGCGAAUUAUAUGUAUAUAUAUAUGUAUACUUAAGCAUAAAAAAAAAAUAUAUAGCAUAAGUGAAAAAUGCUUCUUAAGAUAUUUUUUAUUUAGCAAAAAAAAAAAAAAAAAAAAAAACGGCUAAGUUAUUUUAAGCAAAUAGAAAAAUAUAAUUUAUCUACUAAUAAAACAAUUUUUCGUUUUUUUUUUUUUUUUUUUUUUAAAACUAUUUAUUGUAUAUAUACAUAUGUUUUCAAUUAUAAUUUGAUUUUUACUAUUAUUAUUACAUAAUUUAAAACAUAAGUAUACAUGAAAUUAUUUUUUUUUUAAAAAAAAUGCUCUUUUAAAUAACUUAUAUAUUUUGUAAAAAUAGGAAGAGUAGUAAAAAAAUGAAUAUAUAAUAUAAUUUUUGUUUUGUAGGACAAAAAUAUUGUUUAUUAUAUUAAUAUAUAAUACAUAUGUGAUUUAUUCAGUUUAUUUGUAUAAGUUACGUAUAUACAUAAAAAUAAAUAAAUAAAUAAAUAAAUAAAUAAAUAUAUAUAUAUAUAUAUAUAUAUAUAUUAUCAACUGUAUAUAUUAAUUUGUUAAACUUAAAUAUAAACGGUUUUAACAUUUCUUAAAAAAAAAAAAAAAUUUUGUAAACAGUUAACACGCAGUUACAUAUUUUUUUUUUAAAAAGUUUAUUUUAUAUUUUUAUUUUGCUCUUUUCUUUAUAUAUUUUGUUUUUUUCUAUUGUUAUUAAUUUUUUCAUUUAAUUUUUUUAUUGAGCAAUUUUUAAAUAAAUACUGAUAUUUAUUAUAAAUCAAGAACAACAGAAAAAAAAAUAAAAAAUGAAUCACUUAGAUGAAAACAGAGAAUCAAAUGAUCAUGAGCAUCAUAAUGCUGGAUCAACAUUGUACGUUUCAAAUUUAAGUUCAAGAAUAACUACUUGGGAACUUCAAGAUUUAUUUGAACAAUAUGGAACUAUAGAAAAAUGCCAUGUUAUCUGUAAUCCAAUUACAAAAGAAUCAAGACAAUUCGGAUUUGUCACUUUUCAUUCUCCUGAUGAAGCACAAAAUGCAAUGAAUAAAACACAUAACAUGGAUCUAGAAGGGAGACUUAUUAACGUACAAAUAGCCAGACGAAAUGAACCAUAUGAACCAACCCCAGGCCAAUAUAAAGGAACUAACAGUAAAUAUAGACGAAACUACGAAAUGAGGCGUAACUAUUAUGCAAGAAAUAAUUACAGAUAUUAUGAUAGAAGGCGAGUUGAAGCAAGAAGAUACCCAUAUUACAGAUACCCAAUAAAAAGUUACGGUUACAGAAAUAACACGUAUAGAAAUUAUGAUAAUAAUGGAAGAAAUACAUAUAACGAUAAUAGACGUUAUGAAAGAAAAUCAAUAGAUUAUAGAUAUCAUAAAAGAGAUGAUUAUUAUAAAAAACCUACAAUGAGCAGUGAUGAUGAAAAAUAUUAUUCAGGAGAUGAUAGUGGUAAAAGAAGAAGAAAAUAUGACAAAUAUAGAAGAUCAUUUAGUCACUCUUUAAGUAACCCAAGACAGCACAAAGGUUCUUCACCAUAAAGGUAAAAAAAAGGAUUUCAUUUAUAAUUACAUACGUUAUUUUUAUUCAUUUAUUCAUUUAUUCAUUUAUUCAUUUAUUUAUUUAUUUAUUUUACUUAUAUACUUUAUUUAUUUAUUUUAUUUUAUAUUAUUUAUCUUAUUUAUUUAUAUUAUUUUUUUUUUAUUUUAUUUAUCUUAUUUAUUUAUAUUAUUUAUAUUAUUUAUAUUAUUUAUUUUAAUUAUCUUAUUUAUUUAUUUAUUUAUUUAUAUUAUUUAUAUUAUUAUUUUAUUUACUUUUUUUAUUUUUACAGGAUGAUGACUUAAUAUUUAUAAAUACACUUUUCUAUACCUUUUUUUCUUUCUCCUUUUACAAUUUAGCAAUUAAUAUCACGAAACAAAACAAAACAAAUUAUAUACUUAUGAAUGCUAAACAAAAUCAGAAUAUUUCUUAGUAGAUGGAUUCAUAUUUUUGUAUGUUAUAAUAAUAUAGCAAUUUUUUUUUUAUUUUUUUAUUUCAAAAGUUAAAAAUUAACAUUUAAGUGACUGUAUGUAUAUAUAUAUUAUACCAUUAAAUUGUAAAAUUUUCAAAUUAAACACAUACAUUUACCAAAAAAAAAAAAAAAAAAAAAAAAAAAUCGUACACAUUACACUUUUUUAAUACGAAUUACUGUAUCAAAACUAAGAAAAUUUUAAAAACAAUUAAAAAAAAAAUGUAUAACAUACGAAAAUCAGUGUUUUCAAAAAGUUAAAUGAAAAUGGAUUUACCUUUGUUCGGUUACAUAUACCCAUCAUCAUAUCUCCACCUUUUUAAUAAUUUAUUGUAACUAACAAAAAAAAAAAAAAUAAAAUAAAAAAUAAAAUUGAUUUUUAAAUAAAU